UCUAAGGUGCCACAAGCCCUCCUUUUCUUUUUUCUGGUUUAAUUGUUGUUCCUGUAACUUCCUGAGAAAUCUGAAUUAGGUUGCCCAAGCAGUUCUUAACGAGCAUGUUACCUGCCAUUUCCAACUGAAAGGAAAGAGGCAGGUCUUGUCAUUUCAGUGUAUUGUUCCCUGUUUUGAUAAACUUGCCUACAGCCGCGCCCUUCUCAUAAUGGCCCCAAAACCUGCCCUCAGUGUAUGCAGGACAUGUUAGUUCCGAUCUUUGGGCCAGUGGUAUUGAGGUGUUUCACCUAGACAGUCAUACUAAAAAUCCCCCUGUUAGUUAAACCAUUUGUCCCCUUCCCUUUGCCUUGACAAAGUGUGUUGCUUUUAGACACUGUUACUGCCUGGAGCUUUAUACCAGUCUGUAAACUGCCUUAUUUAGAAAGAGGAAGUAACUGUGGAUCUAAGCAAAGUUUUUUGAGAUCCCAGUUAUAAACACUUUUUGGUGGCGAUUUGUCUGUUAGAUUGGUUUUAAGACAGCCUAGAAGCCUGUGCUGUAAGCAGCACUAUACUGUAGAUGACCAUCUGUCAAAUUGCCAGGGGCCUUGCUGCUCUACGGUGAUAGGGACUUAAGUGCUUUUCCCAAGCUCUGGCCCUGGGCUGUCCCAGGACUCCUUGCCACGUUCUGUGUAGGCCCCUGCCUCCACUGUGGAAUGGGGUAACUACUAAUUAUGCUAUUGCCUCUUCAGGUGUCUUCCCUGAGCAGUUAAUUGGGCUUCAACAAUUGCUCUAGAGAAUAAGUGACAAUAGUCAAAUUCUUGCAAAUGUGGACAACGUAAUAGGUGUAUCUGAGCAGCCCUGAUCCUAUGGAGGUGUCUGUAUAGAAUUAGCAUUUCCCACAGUCAGUAAUCAAAACCUGCCCACUCACAUGGUAUUACAAACAAAGCAACUAGGGCUGGAAAAAGGCUACUAGAUCACCUACUACAUUUCCCCUAUUAAUGCAGCAUUGCCCAAAUAACCUCCCCCCAGUGAAAUGCUCCCCUAGAACUAACCAGUACAGCUAUGGUGCCGUGCUGGGAACCUGGGUCAUACUCCCAUCUCUGCCACUGACUCUGCCCUGAGUUAAGUUGCUCUCUCUGUGCCAAAAACCAUUCCGUCUGUCAUUCUCAGCCUUUCCCUUCCUCUGGGUCCUAUUACUGAAGAUAUUUGCAUAAAAACAGCCUCUUGGUUUCAGAGGAUUGUUUCCUGCUGCUUAUUCCUCAUCUAAGUCCUACUGACCUCUGCUUGCGACAUCACCACUGGUUGCUAUGGAACUUAUUUUAUAUGUUGCAUAAGAGGGACUCCAGGUGGGGAAAUGAGCAACAGGAAGAGAUGAAUUCUAAAGAAAUCCAGAGCCAGUGUAUUACUCGGAGCUUCACCUAAAAAGGUCAAUGGGGGCGGGGUGGGGGAGCAAGGGGGGGCGCUUUUCUAAACAGCCUUGCUUAGAAUCAGCAUUCGUUGGCGCAGCAGGUGAUCUUUAAUCUGGUACCUCCCUUAAGCAUUUUAUAUAGGGCUGAACUGCCUGUGUAAUUACCGUAUAUACACACACUACAUUGACUAUUGACCAACAGAGUUGCUGUGCUCGGGAGUUAGAAGACGGCGACUAUUGCCCACAAAUGGCUGCAGCAUUUUUAAGGGAAACCAUAGUGUGAAAAUUUCCCAGGCCCUUUUAUGGAGGCCCACUUUAGUUCUGGUUCUGGGAAGGGUGUUAGCCGCAGGUGAAGCUUCAAGAGCGGCUACAUGAAAACUGGAAUUGCUUAGCUUUCAGUCAUUGUUCAAUGGGCCAAAUCCCUGCAGUUCAUACUUGAGCAAAACUCUCAGUGACCUACAGUGGCAGUUUUGCCUGGAGUAAGGACUUCAGGAUUUGACUCAAGAUUGAUAAAAGCCCCUGGCUUUCUUGGUGGAGGGAGAUCUUACAAUCUGUAUCUCAGCACUUAUUUUUGUUGUGCGGAAGUCCAUAAUGCUUUGCACUUGCCAGGUGUUUGCUCAGUAAUGACCAAGUGCUCUGCAAAGGUGAGUAUUACUCCCUGCUUUACAAAUAGGGAAAUUAAGACACAAUGAGGGUCAGUGAGUUGUCCAACUUUAUACACCAGGAACAGGUCUACAACCCGGGCCUCCCAAGUCACAGUCUUGUGCUGCUUCUCUUCUUUCCCGCUCCCCCCAGUCACUUCUUUCGGUAAGAUGGUGAUAGAGAUACUGACCUCCUUUGUAAAGUGCUUGGAGAUCUACAGAUGAGAAGAGCUAGGUAUUAUGUUACAUGAACCAUAAUUUCAGUUUUUUCCCUGGGAUUAUAACUCUUUUUUUCUUUGGUUUUCCUGGCAUUAUUAUUUUCUGUUGUGUACUUCGCUCUCCUAGGCCCCAAUCCUGUCUGAGCAGACCCUUGGCUCAGUGACCUCUGCCUGGAUGGAGCCCUUUUGAUCUCAGCAUGGCUCAGCUCAGGCCCAGGAGUCUACCUGUGUGGAAGUAAGAUUGGGGCCAUCAUUUGUAAUGUCAUCAGAAUAUCACCAGACCAUUCAAAAUACAGCAGUAGACCUUGGAUCAAAUUCUUUUUAUAUACAACAAUGCUCUGAAAUGAAAAUACUGGAUUGGUGGAGGGAAAUACCAAGCAUUGUAUGUGACAGAACUCAGUGGAAAUAUUCAGACUUAGUAGGUGCAGAAGAAUCAGAUAUUUCCUCUUAGGAUAAGGGUGUUUAGUUAAAUUUACAUUCAUCAAUUGCAUAUAUUAGCAUUCUGGUUUUUCACCUAAAAUCCAGUAAAGAAACGAGAAGUUGUUACCUUACGCUGUUGAACUAAUGAGUAAUAUAGUCACUUUCUAGAUAAUGUAGCAGUUACAACAUAGGCAGAACUACAAACUUGAACUCCUCAGAGAGUGGGAAAAACCCACUGGUUUUUCCCUUGCAAGUUGCAAGAUACAAAUGACAAUGACAGUCCAGCAAUGAGUGAUGUUACGUGCAACUUGGCUGUGUAUUCUUGAGCUCAGAUACUGUACUGACCGGUUUGGAGAGCAGUGGCUCUGAACUAUUGCCCAAGUCUCACCAUGCUUACUGAGAGUGUUAUAACAAUUCUGCAGCUGCCUUUGCCAUACACAAAAUACAAAGAGUCAGUAUUUUAUUACACCUUUUGCGGUGUGUGGGAGAAGGGCUGCUUUCCACUUGGCUCCUUGGCGGUGUUCUGCUUACAUGCUCCACAAAACGAUCUAUUACGUAUUGAAGUUUACUGGGCAAAAGAUCAAAUUAAAUCAUGCCAUCUGACCACAAUUACACCAUUCUCAAGCAGAUGAAGUGUGUUUUUCUGAAUCUGUGUAUAAACACUAAGCUGUGCAUGUAAUCUAAUAUGUAUAAAGAAAUAUUCAGAGGAGACCACAAAAUAGAAUUUACAUCUUUAAAUGCACAAAUAAUACACCAAUAGAAUAGAGUUUGUGUUUCCUGUUGCAUGUAAAUAUGGAACAAAAACUCUUGAAGAGUAAGUGAGGUUUAAACAAGAAACUAUCAGUGUCUGGUGUGUGAUGAUUUAAAACAGCUUUCUGCUGUAUUUUGUAUUUUUGAAUCAUUAACUUGUUUGUUCUUCUAGUUAAUUCUACCACUCAUCCAAGUCAGUAUCUUAUAUACAACGAAUUUUAGGUUAGAGGAGGGCCAAGAAACCUUUAUUACUUUCUUUCCUGCUGUCUGUUUAUAUCUUGUGAUACAACUUAACUUUCCUUUUUUUUUUUUUUUUUUGAACAGACCUAUUCUUGCAACCCUAACUCACAUGAAUGGUCCCAUUGACUUAAAUGGAACUCCUCCUGUGAAUAAGCCCCACUUGAAUAAGGUUUAGAAGAUCAAGCAGCAUUUUGAACUAGGUGUACAUACAACCGCCUGUGGUUUUGUUUUACGUUAAUUACUCUCUCUGAGGGAGGAAUCGCUGUCUAGAAUCCCUCAGCUUUGACAGGACUAUGGAGUUAAGUUCAGGCUACCUCUUCCAUUUGUUCUACGUGACACUGGGGUCACGCUGGAGCAUCUGCGAUAUCUAUUGCCAUCACAAGGUUGCCUGUGUCUCCUGUUCCAUUAAACUGGGUCAGAGUUUCUGCAAACUCUGACUAUCUCAGAUCCUAUUUUCAUCAUUUACCCUUUCCUCCAUGUAACAGGCUGACAGUGCUUGCUUGAAACACCACACCCUUUUGCAGCUAUUUAGCCUGCUGGGGAAGGGUUAAAUGGGCUGUGCUGACUCACUAAACGGGGUGACUCAUUACCCCGCCCAGAUAUAGAGGAAAUGGCUGUCUAGAGAGAGAAGAUUAUAAAACCACAAGGGGCUAUUGUGAUAAUCUAAUCUGAUCUACAGCUGCAGUGCUGGACUGAGCCAUGGGGGGCAUGUAGGCAGAGCGAACCUGGAAUAGGAAUCUGAGGGGCAGCCAAAUCCAGAAAGGAGCCUUACACUGAACUUUGUUGUAUGGCUAAGGCUGGGUGUGGACUGUGCUUUGAGAGCAGUUUGGGAAAGGCACCAGCUCAUGCUCAAUUUCUUUAAUAUAUUUAUAUGUCAAAAAUCAGUUCCAUGUAUUAUUUCAAAUCUGGCUUUUACGCUGUAUUGCAAUAACUAGCUGAUUUUUACAUCCAGACCUUGACUUACGGAUUCCAGAUGAUUUGUUGUUAACUUUGGACAGAAAGUUUUUAAAGUGGUAUCCAAAACUCACGGACCUCUCUAGAACACAGACUUGUGAGUGCGCUUUCUUUCAUGGAUUUGAUGCCUGGUUUCAUAAGACUUCUUCCAUCUACACUGGAUUUUAUAAAAACGAAUACUCAAGCUCCUUGUAUCAGAGUUUCAUUAGCUGAUUGUAGCACAUCACUUCCUUCUUCCUGGUUAACUAAUUGCUCUCCUUAAUCCUGAACUGCUUUCACUAAAUAAUCCUCUGCAUUCAAGACCCAACACAAUCAAGUAGUGCAGACUACACCUUCUGCAAUACUCAACUAUGUAGGUUCUCUUGUGGAUGAAUGUAUACCAAUAUCCAGGUAGAUUACGUCCAUAGGCUUCAAUGGUUUGUCACUCCCUCAAACAAUUUCAUUCUUUCAUCUCUGCUUUUAACAGGUGAACUUUUGGUGCUGCUGAAAAGCACCAGACUGGUGGGACCAAAGUAAAGUUCCCUUAUUCACCAAACAGGUCAGCAACAUUCAACCUCAGCAGAAGCUACCUUCUGCCAACCAAUCAGUCUGCCUUAACAUUCAUGUGGAGGGACACUGGGCAAACGAGUAGUGCAGACAUUAUGCUCCACUCCUUGGCCUCUUUCCAUCAGACCUAUAGUAACAGUGUUAUCUCUGGUAGUUUCUGCAUUGUGGAUAUUUGUCCAUGACUCCUAGAGUGAGGCCUUCAGUUAAUCAGCUUGUGGGACUGCUGAAUCAAGCCACUUAUUUUAUUACGUUAAGGUUAAAGGCCCCCAUCCAAGACUCUGGCUUACCCUACAUAAUUUUCACAGUAAAAUAAAAAAGGGGACUGCUGAGGCUGCUUGACUAAUAUAAUUUCAAACAAUAAACAAAUCACAAGUCAUCCAGCUCCUCUAACUCUCAGCCCACCCUUCCCCAAGGCCCUGGGAAAAUAGAGGGACCAUGAAGCAUGCCAGGAAAGUAGGUCCACUUUGGAAUGGGACGAGGCACCAUCCCUGCUAAAGAACAGCCUGAGAGGAAGUAGCCUAGAGAUGAAACAGGAUCCCAACCAAUUAAUCUCUUGUGCUAAGCAAUGAAAAUAAUCGUGACUGCUGGUGCAAAAGCUGACACUUCCAUUCUCCCCUCAAAUUUUUCUCACGGCCUCAAGGCCAUUUUUGCUGGCAUGAAACUUGUUUUCUGAACAUUCAUUAUUUUGGUCACUGGGUGCCAUCCCAUCAUGUUACUGCAAAGAGCUGGGUUCCUUACUGGAACGGGCAAUAUUUUGCCCUGAAUCCUAUUUGUGAGCAAGUUUUUGCAGACAUCCUCAUAAAGCAAAGAUUAAUAGGUGGGUUCUGCUCUGCCUUUGAGCUACUGAAUCUGUCCUCUUUGUUUUUCAAUCAUCGCUGAUUCGCUGUAAUGGCAGCUCUACCUUUCUACCUCUAUUUGGAAUUGCCUGCUUUUUUCCCAGCACUGAAAUCAGACCUUAGAUGGCUGUUAAACUUCCUGAUUCUAGCAACAAUCUCUUAAUUUUGAAACUGAAAAAUGGUCAUGUCAAAUACACCAUUCCACAGACAAAAUGGAUCAGUGAUGUCCAGGCUCGGAAUAAUAAGCAUGCAGAAGAGACGCAAAGGGAGGACAGUCAUGCCGUAAGGAAUAUCUGCUUACUUGUUGAUGUAGCAGUAACAGACCUCUCUCCGAUUCCAAGGAGGUUUAUCUUGUAAAGUUUUUAUCUUGUUUCGCCAUGUUCUCUAGAACUGUAGGUUGAUUCAUGUGUUCCUGGAGCUUUCAGUCUUCAGACAUCAAAUUUCUUGGUUACCUAUUGUCAGCUCUGACAGGGGAACUGCUACUUUUCCUGAUACUUCAGCAGUGCUCUUUUAAAAUACUGAGGCAAAAGAAUUCCUACUAUGUUGCUAACAACAAGAGGGGAAAAAAUUCCCCUCUCUGUAUUGUCUUUUCCUGACCCUUUGUUCCUUGAAUAGUUUGUGGUGUUUAUCUUAACCUCUUGUGCAAUCUUGCCUUCUGAAAAAGUUCCAGUCUCUUGAGUAAAAAUAAGCAAGUGAGACUUUCAAGAAGGGUUUAAAAACAAAACAAACCCACCAAACAAACCUUCUUAUUCAAGUUAUUAACCCAGCAGCUAGGAAAGAACAAAGUCAUUUUUACAGAGAAGUAUUUUUCUUUAUCAAGAAAUUCUAAUUUAAAAAUCCCCAAAACAACUUAGAAAAAAUCAGUGUAAAACAAAUAUUGGCCUCUAAACUUGUUUCAGGAACAUGCUUGGCUAUUAGAAUGAUUGGUGUCUUUUCAUUGACAUCAGGGGGAGUUGAAUGGGCCUUAAUGCAGGAACCAGAAUGGCUGAAGACUGGCUAAGAAAAGGCAAGUGAGAGAGGAUGAGUUAGAUUGGAUUCCUUGCUAGGUCUCUGGAGGAAAGAUGCUAUGAUGCAAUGUUGUGACAUCUCUUGGACAGAAAAAAAUGUAAGUGCAUUAGUGUGAGAACAGGAGCAGUAGGUUUACUAUGCAACAAUAAAUCCCUGGGCUGCCGUCCCAUGAAAUUAGCUAUAAAAUUCUCUAAAUCCAGAUAUGAAACUCUAGCAUGAAUAUUGUUUUCAGAGCUAGUUUUAGUGCAUAACAGAAAGGUAUUAAGAUCAGUCUCCGAAUUCUCUCCUAGUUCACACAAAAUAAGGGGUGAGCCUCAUAGGCUUUAUGUUGUCAACAGUCAGCAGAAUUUUCUCCUUUACUGGGAAGGGGCCCGGGAAAGACGUGACUGUCUUCCCAUGUUUGCCAGAAUCAUUUGGAGCUUGCCCUGAAACUGCUAACAUUGGUUCAACAAUUAGCUGUCGUGAUACACUCAAACAGUAGUGAAUUUAGCCCCAGUACUGGUUCAAUCUCAUAACAAUCAGUUACACUUAUUCAAUCCUCAGCAAGAAGAAUCAUGAGCUCUACCAGUUCCUCCUUCCUGAUAGGCCAGAACUACCAGAACAGCUGCUCCCAGGGGACCUCAGUGCUACUGUUCCCAGCCUAAACUGAAGACUGCAGAGGUGUAAACCAGCAAAGGCAGUAAGGGGAAAUAGGAUGACAGCAGGCACUUUGCAAGUUAAUCUAUGGCCCAGAAUGGAUAUUCUGCAAUGGACAAGUAACUUUGGGGUUUUUUUAGUGCUGGUGAAAGUGCCAACUUGACUGCACUGGAAACUGGUCCUAUUUACCGAACAGAUAUAACAUCGGUAGUGCAAGCUGCCCCACACUGCUCUGCCACGAUCCUCAACCCUAGAGUUGGUUCCUCCAGAAUCAAGGUUACAGCCUCCAUGAUCAUUCAAGUUCCUCUGCAGUGACUGCAGGGGGGGAAAAAAGCAAUUGUGCCAUGGAGAAAUGGUUCAAGGCCACCCACGAUUUGAUAAAGGUAAGGGAAUAGCAACUGGCCUGACUUAGUUUUACUGUCUUUGAGUGCUCUGCAAAAAAAAAUUUGUUCUGGCAAGUUUUCUCUGAAAUGAAUUUGGUUCAAUGUUCUAGGAAAUCAGCCACGCAGCACCAGUUCCUCUUAAGUCGUUUUGAUCUGUGGGAACUUUGUUCCUCCUCUUUGCAGGAAUGGAUGUACUCCUAUAUGUAUGUAUUGCACUCAUAUUUCACAGCAGGGCUGAUCAGCAACUUGCACUCACUACAGCCUGGCUUGGAUUUGAACCUGUGACACAGAGGCUUCUAUACCCAAAUCCCCCGAGAACAUUAUUUGGAAAAUUACCACCAUAUUCACACACAUUCUGUAACGAAGUUGGUAUCACUGUUUCUUUUACUGUUAAGGGACACCUUUUUAUCCCAAAUCAGAAUGAUCUGUGAAGCAUUUUAAACUGGGGUGUGUGUUUGCAACUAUUUACUUCCAAUGAAAAUACUGAAAAGUCUAAAUGAAAAACUAAGAGUCUUAUUUUCACUUACUUGGAAGCAAACAUAUUCCAAGCUUUCCCCACAAUGUUGUCCAUAAGUUUCAGCAAGAACUGGCUGUUGCUGACCAAAGAAGCAGAUUUUUCAUACUUGUUAAAGGCUCUUGGUGUUUUCCAUAUAUGAAAAGCCUCUUGAGGGUUUAGCCAGGAUGUAUACAAUGCUGGAUCUCGGAAACCUCCUGCAAUGGGAAUAAGGCAGUUUUUUCUGACUAAUGAAGUUUUACCAAGUUUAUAUGUCUUUAUAUGUUCAACUAGAAUUUUCCAAUCAGCAUGUUACACUGAGCGUUGUACGCCAGAACUCAACCUCUACUGCAUGAAUACACAGACUAAAAAAGUGACCCUGGAAAAGGAUAGUUUAUGACUGGUUCUGUGCCUGUCAAGGCAACAAGGAGCUGCUGCAGACACUGCCCAUUCAACUUCACAAACCAACAUAAGUGGAAAGGAAAACUGUAAUUUGUUCUCAUGGCCGCUGUGUCCCAGCUAAUAAUUAGAAGCUGGGGCUUUGGGAGUGGUGUAGAAUGAGAUGGGUGAUCUCACAAGACCCUGCUGUGAAAGAAAAAACAGCUGCAGUAAGUCAUCCAUGUAUCUCUGUUCCACCAGUUCUCUAAAGCCUCAGCUGCUGCUUGGCAGAUCAAGUCAGACUUCCAAACAGUAUUUCCACCUGAUGGGCCUAGUAAAGGUGUAACUGUACAAACUGGUUCUUUCCCACACAGUGUGGUGAGGGCAGGAUAUAAAAGUACCCCAGCACUGCUUCAGUGCUGUGUGAUGAUAAGCAAGCUCUGAUGUCGCCCACUCCUGCAGCAGCUCUAUAUCUUUCCAGGUAGCAGUAUAUUAUCACAACGAAUCCUAUCACACAAAUAGAAUUUAGUUUUACAGUAUGAUGAUACCUCUCCUUUCCCCCAAGUUGCUUUAGGAAGCCCUGAUAGAUACUGCCAGUGUAGCGUCUACGUAUGUAAAUACAGCAGUCCUUCAUAACUGCAUAACAUGGCCUUGGACUUCAGAAUGUGUUUGCAGAGAGAAUGCUGACCUUAUUCUUUAAAGUCUGUAGCCUUCAGGUUUUUUCACUUUCACCAGUGACUGCCACAAUGAAAACACUGGGAGAUGGAAGAAGGAAUAACUAAUGUGCUGUGUAUUUUUUCUCACCUAGAUCAACGCUUUGCACAUCUUUUCCUCGCAGGACAACCAGGUUGGCAACGGAGGUGUUAAAAUGUAGUGCCUGAUUUGGAGAGGCUUUUGGGGGGACAGGAUGCCCUGGCAAUGGUGGUCGCACCUGCCAAUCGAUACCUAGAAACAGAAGUUUUUGAAACAAACUAAAAUCCAUAUUUCAAUCAUAAGAUGUGCUUAAUUAAUUUACGUUUUUCAGUUCCUAUCUUCCUGAUGUGAAAUAUGGCUGCAUUCAGAAAGAGGUCUACUUGGAGACCGUCUAGUGCUAGUGAUGUUCAGCACCUGGCACUGGCUGUCUGGCCGAGGGUGUGCCACGGCACGUAGGCUCCACUCACUGAUCAAGCAGCAGUUGCAUGACUCUUAGAUAAUGGAGCUCAACCUGCUGUUCGUAGGGAGGGAAAUCUCCGACUGCAGUUGCUAUUCCUACCGCAUAGGAAAUGUCCACACUAAACAGUUCGCCAUCCUUGUGCUUUGCUGGUACCUAAACUGUGUAAUUGGAAGCCAUAUUACAGUUCACCACCUGUCUAGGUAAAAGUGGAAGGAUUAAAGUGUAAAAAACAAAGCAGCCCUGGGAAUCCAAAAGCUGUUCCAAGUGAAUCAUGGAAGUAAAUCCCAAAAUGUUUUGUUUUACAUAUGCUUAAUAUUUAUAGUUAGUUGAGAGGUCUGGGCGCUAAACCAGGAUAAAGCAGGGAUGAACUGGAAGGUCUUAUGGCAGCAGUGUUAUUAGUGGAAGGAGCU